rnacentral:rRNA from 1 species
GACGAACGCUGGCGGCGUGCUUAACACAUGCGAGUCGAACGGAAAGGCCCUGCUUUUGUGGGGUGCUCGAGUGGCGAACGGGUGAGUAACACGUGAGUAACCUGCCCUUGACUUUGGGAUAACUUCAGGAAACUGGGGCUAAUACCGGAUAGGAGCUCCUGCUGCAUGGUGGGGGUUGGAAAGUUUCGGCGGUUGGGGAUGGACUCGCGGCUUAUCAGCUUGUUGGUGGGGUAGUGGCUUACCAAGGCUUUGACGGGUAGCCGGCCUGAGAGGGUGACCGGCCACAUUGGGACUGAGAUACGGCCCAGACUCCUACGGGAGGCAGUAGUGGGGAAUAUUGCACAAUGGGCGGAAGCCUGAUGCAGCAACGCCGCGUGCGGGAUGACGGCCUUCGGGUUGUAAACCGCUUUCGCCUGUGACGAAGCGUGAGUGACGGUAAUGGGUAAAGAAGCACCGGCUAACUACGUG